AUGGCUCGCGACCUCCACCAUCUCCUGCUCCUCGCAGCGCUCCUCCAGCAGCUUUCCGCCACCUCCGCCGGCGACGUCGCGACUGGCAGCGGCGGCGAGAAGGUGCACGUGGCGAUCUACUACGAGUCGCUGUGCCCCUACUCGGCCCGCUUCGUGACGAACCACCUCUUGAAGGCCUACAGGGACGGCCUACUCGACGCCGCCGACCUCACCCUCGUCCCCUAUGGCAACGCCAAGGUCGACGCGCACGGCGCCAUCACAUGUCAGGUGGGUUCCUCUCCUUCUCCCUUCGGCUGUAGAGAUGCUCAUACUGACGUUGGGAUACUGGCUUGUUGCAUGCAGCAUGGCCCCGAUGAAUGCCUUCUCAACACCGUUCAGGCUUGCGCCAUCGACGCCUGGCCGGACGUGAAAGUGCAUCUCGGCUUCAUUUACUGCGUGUCGGACCUGGUGAUGAAGAACAGGCACCGGGAGUGGGAGUCGUGCUUCCAGAAACAGGGGCUUGACCCCAAGCCAGUCACGGAGUGCUACAAGGGCGAGCGUGGCCACAAUCUUUCGCUCGAGUACGGGAGACAGACAGCUGAGCUCGUGCCUCCUCACCAGUUCGUUCCAUGGGUUGUGGUCGACGGCAAGCCGCUCUACAACGAUUACGGGAAAUUCGAAGCUUACAUCUGCAAGGCGUACAAGGGCUAUCCCCUCCUGGAGGCGUGUCGAAGCCCGGGCAUGGAGGCAGAGAACGAUGUGUACGGCCGACUUUGA
rnacentral:rRNA from 1 species